GAUCAAUAAGCAAAAAAAUGCGAUUUCUUUUAGGAGGAAAUAGUUGGGUUGGCUUACUCAUUGAUU
rnacentral:tRNA from 1 species